rnacentral:rRNA from 1 species
UAUACGGUGAAACUGCGAAUGGCUCAUUAAAUCAGUUAUCGUUUAUUUGAUAGUACCUUACUACAUGGAUAACCGUGGUAAUUCUAGAGCUAAUACAUGCUAAAAACCUUGACUUCGGAAGGGGUGUAUUUAUUAGAUAAAAAACCGAUGCCCUUCGGGGCUCCUUGGUGAUUCAUAAUAACUGAACGAAUCGCAUGGCCUUGCGCCGGCGAUGGUUCAUUCAAAUUUCUGCCCUAUCAACUUUCGAUGGUAGGAUAGUGGCCUACCAUGGUUUUAACGGGUAACGGGGAAUUAGGGUUUUAUUCCGGAGAGGGAGCCUGAGAAACGGCUACCACAUCCAAGGAAGGCAGCAGGCGCGCAAAUUACCCAAUCCCAACACGGGGAGGUAGUGACAAUAAAUACUGAUGUGGAGCUCUUUAGGGUUUCACAAUUGGAAUGAGUACAAUUUAAAUCCCUUAACGAGGAACAAUUGGAGGGCAAGUCUGGUGCCAGCAGCCGCGGUAAUUCCAGCUCCAAUAGCGUAUAUUAAAGUUGUUGCAGUUAAAAAGCUCGUAGUUGAACCUUGGGCCUGGCUGACCGGUCCGCCUCACCGCGAGCACUGGUUCGGCCGGGCCUUUCCUUCUGGGGAGCCGCAUGCCCUUCACUGGGUGUGUCGGGGAACCAGGACUUUUACUUUGAAAAAAUUAGAGUGUUCAAAGCAGGCCUAUGCUCGAAUACAUUAGCAUGGAAUAAUAGAAUAGGACGUGUGGUUCUAUUUUGUUGGUUUCUAGGACCGCCGUAAUGAUUAAUAGGGAUAGUCGGGGGCAUCAGUAUUCAAUUGUCAGAAGUGAAAUUCUUGGAUUUAUUGAAGACUAACUACUGCGAAAGCAUUUGCCAAGGAUGUUUUCAUUAAUCAGUGAACGAAAGUUAGGGGAUCGAAAACAAUCAGAUACCGUCGUAUUCUUAACCAUAAACUAUGCCGACUAGGGAUCGGACGGUGUUUUCAUUUU